GAUGAACGCUGGCGGCGUGCCUAAUACAUGCAAGUCGAGCGAACAGACGAGGAGCUUGCUCCUCUGACGUUAGCGGCGGACGGGUUAGUAACACGUGGAUAACCUACCUAUAAGACUGGGAUAACUUCGGGAAACCGGAGCUAAUACCGGAUAACAUGUUGAACCGCAUGGUUCCACAGUGAAAGACGGUUUUGCUGUCACUUAUAGAUGGAUCCGCGCCGCAUUAGCUAGUUGCUAAGGUAACGGCUUACCAAGGCAACGAUGCGUAGCCGACCUGAGAGGGAGAUCGGCCACACUGGAACUGAGACACGGUGCAGACUACUACGGGAGGCAGCAGUAGGGAAUCUUGCGAAAUGGGCGAAAGCGUGGCGGAGCAAAGACGCGUGAGUGAAGAAGGUCUUCGGAUCGUAAAACUCUGUUAUUAGGGAAGAACAAAUGUGUAAGUAACUAUGCACGUCUUGACGGUAACUAAUCAGAAAGCCACGGCUAACUACGUG
rnacentral:rRNA from 1 species